rnacentral:lncRNA from 1 species
CAGUUCGAAUUUUGAGCACAAGAAAACAGUUCCAGUGCUCCCAUAUUGAAGGCAGUCUAGCAUAAUGACCAGUCUUGAAAAUCUGAUUGUUUUUUGGUUUUUAGUGUUGAAAGCUUAGGUUAAAUUAUGUCCCACUGACAUCAGAAGUGGAACUAGAAUGAUUGAAGAGGAGUCUGAAUUUCACUGUUGAAGUUUGAUUAUGUAGCCUUUGUCAAGCAGACUCAUGAAGAAGUUGAGCCAGAUUUUGUAGAUGUGGCAGAAACAAUGUCCGCGGUGGUUUUCAAGGAGGUUUAUGAGUCUAGAGGCAAAGAAAACUUGCACUCUGAAUUUGACAAAGCUGCUCUGAGCUGGCACUUGUAAUACCCCAGGAGACAGGAUUUUAUAUGAUUUGACUGGAACCAAUAGGUCUAGAGAUGCCCCAGUCUAUUUGCCGUUCCUCAGUCACCUCGGAAGCUCGCCACUUUACUACUGGAACUUCACUCAGGGUGCAGACUUUGUCCCCAAAAGAGUCUGUGUGAUGGGCUGGGUACACAAUGCUCCAUUGUUUUGAGCUCCUCCAAACUCUAUGCUGUAAUCCAGAAGUUAGUGUUUUCAGGAUCCAUGUGUGAGUGGAAUGUCCUGCUCUGUGGCUGCCAUAUUCUCUUGUCGUUUGUACAGCCUUUUGCUUGUCUUCAUUACGAACAGUGACUGUGGCUACGCAGUCAUCUGUAUUUAGAGGUGACAACAUUUUUGGAGCCUCAUUCUAAAUAGUCUUGCAGGGACCAAAGAUGCUUCCUUUCCCAGUUCACUGGUUAGUUUGCCUGUUUUUCAAUGAUACAAUUUGUUAGUAUCUG